rnacentral:lncRNA from 1 species
CUAUGCCCAACACACUAUUAAUUGGCAAAAUUAACCAUUUUGCCAUUUUCUUUGAAGAGAAAGUAUAACUUCAUUUUGUCUUCCUUGAGAAAAUUUCUCCAGGGAGAAUCCUAAAAGUUCAGAAACGGUUCCAAAGAAAUCCACUGGCAGCUGGCUGAAUCAUUCUUCACAGUAGAGCAGAAUCAUUUUAAAACAGGUUAAUCUUGAAUAUCCAGGCAAAGAGACUGUUUUAAAGUCAUCUCAAACCAUGGGUUCCAUUAUUAUGAGGAAUAGUAGUUGUAAUCUCAAUAGCUACCGUUAAGAACAACUCUGCUUAUUGAAAUCUGCUGAGCUCCCACUGCCUUUCAAUGUGUGGGACUGCUGAUGGAGGCAGAGGUGAGACAGCAAAGUCACCUGGUCCACCCCCUUCCUCAAGAUAAUCUCAGCACAGCCUGCAGUGACUGCCUCGGAUGGGGAUGACAGCCAAAGGCUGUAGAGGGCAUAUUUCAGGGAGCGGAUAUGGUGGUAAAGGCAUGCUAAAAACUCACAUUGUGGAUGGAGGGAAACGAGGCUUGGGGUCCAUAUUG